ACGAACGCUGGCGGCACGCUUAACACAUGCAAGUCGAACGAGAGAAGAGAAGCUUGCUUUUCUGAUCUAGUGGCGGACGGGUGAGUAACACGUGAGCAAUCUGCCUUUCAGAGGGGGAUACCGAUUGGAAACGAUCGUUAAUACCGCAUAACAUAAUUGAACCGCAUGAUUUGAUUAUCAAAGAUUUAUCGCUGAAAGAUGAGCUCGCGUCUGAUUAGCUAGUUGGUAAGGUAACGGCUUACCAAGGCGACGAUCAGUAGCCGGACUGAGAGGUUGAUCGGCCACAUUGGGACUGAGACACGGCCCAGACUCCUACGGGAGGCAGCAGUGGGGAAUAUUGCACAAUGGAGGAAACUCUGAUGCAGCGAUGCCGCGUGAGGGAAGAAGGUUUUAGGAUUGUAAACCUCUGUCUUUGGGGACGAAAAAUGACGGUACCCAAGGAGGAAGCUCCGGCUAACUACGUGCCAGCAGCCGCGGUAAUACGUAGGGAGCGAGCGUUGUCCGGAAUUACUGGGUGUAAAGGGAGCGUAGGCGGGAUCGCAAGUCAGAUGUGAAAACUAUGGGCUUAACCCAUAAACUGCAUUUGAAACUGUGGUUCUUGAGUGAAGUAGAGGUAAGCGGAAUUCCUAGUGUAGCGGUGAAAUGCGUAGAUAUUAGGAGGAACAUCAGUGGCGAAGGCGGCUUACUGGGCUUUAACUGACGCUGAGGCUCGAAAGCGUGGGGAGCAAACAGGAUUAGAUACCCUGGUAGUCCACACUGUAAACGAUGAAUGCUAGGUGUAGGGGGUAUCGACCCCUUCUGUGCCGGAGUAAACACAAUAAGCAUUCCGCCUGGGGAGUACGGCCGCAAGGUUGAAACUCAAAGGAAUUGACGGGGGCCCGCACAAGCAGUGGAGUAUGUGGAUUAAUUCGAAGCAACGCGAAGAACCUUACCAGGUCUUGACAUCCAUUAAAAGCCAUAGAGAUAUGGUGUGAGCUUGCUCGUAAUGAGACAGGUGGUGCAUGGUUGUCGUCAGCUCGUGUCGUGAGAUGUUGGGUUAAGUCCCGCAACGAGCGCAACCCUUACUGUUAGUUGCUACGCAAGAGCACUCUAGCAGGACUGCCGUUGACAAAACGGAGGAAGGUGGGGAUGACGUCAAAUCAUCAUGCCCCUUAUGACCUGGGCCUCACACGUACUACAAUGGCUGUCAACAGAGGGAAGCAAAGCCGCGAGGUGGAGCGAACCCCUAAAAGCAGUCUUAGUUCGGAUUGUAGGCUGCAACCCGCCUACAUGAAGUCGGAAUUGCUAGUAAUCGCAGAUCAGCAUGCUGCGGUGAAUACGUUCCCGGGCCUUGUACACACCGCCCGUCACGCCAUGGGAGUCGGUAACACCCGAAGCCUGUAGUCUAACCGCAAGGAGGACGCAGUCGAAGGUGGGAUUGAUGACUGGGGUG
rnacentral:rRNA from 1 species